CGACUCUAAGUUCUUAGCGGUGUCAAAAGUCCGGAGCGAGUCUGAAGUCGACUGCCCUAGAAGGCGACAGUUCGCCUUGGAGGGGCGCAUGUCUCUUGUAUUCUAGAGCGGAUGCGGAGUGACGCAACAUCGUGGGGGGCGGCUGGCCUGCAGUGUGAUCUGCCAUCCUCCAGUCCCCUCUCAGUUUCCAGAACCGUGGUCAGCAUCCCUGAGCCUCCUGAACCUGUGAUUCAUAAUCAUGGGAAUGGAUACUGCAGUUAACAAGGCGGCGGUGGGGUGGAGUGUCUCCCCACAAACAUUUGAUCUAGGGAUGCUCAACUGGUUGUCCUCCUCUCCCAGCCAUACUCCUGCCCUAUUCACGAAGGCUCAAAAACAAAUACCCUGAAACACUAAGGAGAGAGAAGAGAGAGACGAUGUCCCUCUUCCUACGGCGUAAUUUCCUUAGUUUGCAGCACCAUGGUUGGGAAUGUGGGAGUUCCGAGGGAAGUUAUAGGGGAGCUUAAAGCACACUAUGCGAAGGUAAGGGAUUAAUUUAACUAACCAAGGCAUUACAAUUACAGGACUUCUUAGGCUAAUCUGGUAUUAAAUAGUAUUUGUUAUGGAUAUUCGCUAAGCAAAUAGUAAUGCACAUAGUAUAUUUUUAUUUAAUUUGUUUAUACACAGUACUACAAAACUAUCUACCUUUCCUUGACUAUCCUACAAGUCCCAAAAGGAACUAAAGGUUCUGGCCUCUCUUGUCCCCCCAGGAACUCUCUUCCAGUGAGAUAAGGUAAUAGGAACAGGUGCCUUGCGAACUAAUGAGAAGGAUUAAUGCAAAUGUUGCUCUUUAUGCCCGGAUUCCAUUUUCUUUCAAAGGGGUUUGAGGCUGCCUAUUGUAAGUCCCUGAUAUGUACCCCAGGAGCCCCGGAAGUCCUGACCGAGCUGGCUAGUGCAUUAAAGAUGAAGACCCCGCCGGAAUGGUAGCACGCCGGAAUGGUAGCACACGCCUGUGAUCAUAGCAACUCAGGAGGGAAAGGCAGGAGGAUCACAAGUACAAGGCCAGUCUGGGCCACUUAGUAAGACCCUAUC
rnacentral:lncRNA from 1 species